GGGAGGGAGUGACUAGUGACAGAGGGAGGGGGUGACUAGUGACAGAGUGAGGGGAUGACUAGUGACAGAGUUAGGGAGGGUGUGACUAGUGACAGUCACCACCUCCCUCACUCUGUCACUAGUCACCAUCUCCCUCACUCUGUCACUAGUCACCCCCUCCCUCAUUCUGUCACUAGUCACCCCCUCUGUCACUAGUCACCCCUCCCUCACUCUGUCGCUAGUCACCCAUUUUCUCCC